GUGCUUGCUUCAGCAGCACAUACUGGAACGACGCAGAGAAGAUUAACAUGGUGCCUGCACAAGGACGGCACGCACAUUUUUUAAUUGUUCCAUACUUAG
ensembl:snRNA U6 U6 spliceosomal RNA